AUUACUUACGUCCCAUAAUUCACGUGAGAGGUGAUGAGAAUUUUCUUGGACCUCCGGAUACCGCAGAGCUCGCAGAAAUAGCUUCUGAUAUCUCUGAAUUUGGGUCUUUCUUCAGCUUCCACAGCUUCACCCAUUCUUUUGGUGAAGAGAUGAAGAUCACAAUCGCAGAUCGAAAAGCUUGAAGGUAAAGUUUAGGGUUUUCAGGGAGCGCGCGAAGUGUGCUGCGUGAGGCGGAAAAUGAAUUGGGUGGUGUCUGAAUCUGUUGAAUUGAAGACUGCUGCCACUGCAUAAGCUGGGCAUAGUUGCUGGAGCUGCUGCCAAUGGGCCGUUGUUGCUGUAUUGAUUAAAAGAAACAAGUGGGCCGCUGCAGCUGCAAUGCAAAUUAACAACGCUAUGGAUUGGCUGCUGGAACGUUGCUGAUGUUGGACAUUUGAAGCUGCUGAAAGUCUGCCUCAGUCAAAACACACAGACUCAAAUUCCUCUCCUUCGUAUUCCC